rnacentral:rRNA from 1 species
GAUGAACGCUGGCGGCGUGCCUAACACAUGCAAGUCGAGCGAACCCUUCGGGGUGAGCGGCUGACGGGUGAGUAACGCGUGGGUAACCUGCCCUAUACACACGGAUAACGUACCGAAAGGUACGCUAAUACGGGAUAAAGUUGUUGGAUGGCAUCUUCUAACAAUCAAGGCUCCGGCGGUAUAGGAUGGACCCGAGUCUGAUUAGCAUGUUGGUGAGGUAAUGGCUCACCAAGGCGACGAUCAGUAGCCGACCUGAGAGGGUGAUCGGCCACGCUGGAACAGACACAAGGUCCGGACUCCUACGGGAGGCAGCAGUGGGGAAUAUUGAACAAUGGGCGAAAGCCUGAUGCAGCGACGCCGCGUGAGCGAUGAAGGUCUUCAGAUCGUAAAGCUCUGUCCUCAAGGAAGAUAAUGACGGUACUUGAGGAGGAAGCCCCGGCUAACUACGUGCCAGCCGCCGCGGUAA